rnacentral:tRNA from 1 species
GGAGUUGUGGCUCAGUGGUAGAGCACUCACUUCACACGUGUGGGUCCCUGGGUUCCAUCCUCAGCACCA